UGGGGAAUAUUGGACAAUGGGGGAAACCCUGAUCCAGCAAUGCCGCGUGAGUGAUGAAGGCCUUCGGGUUGUAAAGCUCUUUUAUCAGGGAAGAUGAUGACGGUACCUGAUGAAUAAGCUCCGGCUAACUUCGUGCCAGCAGCCGCGGUAAUACGAAGGGAGCUAGCGUUGUUCGGAAUUACUGGGCGUAAAGGGCGCGUAGGCGGUACUAUAAGUUAGAUGUGAAAGCCCCGGGCUUAACCUGGGAACUGCAUUUAAUACUGUAGAACUAGAGGACGAGAGAGGAAAGUGGAAUUAUGAGUGUAGAGGUGAAAUUCGUAGAUAUUCAUAAGAACACCAGUGGCGAAGGCGACUUUCUGGCUCGUAUCUGACGCUAAGGCGCGAAAGCGUGGGGAGCAAACA
rnacentral:rRNA from 1 species